UUUCAGUUGGAGGAGGAAGGACGUUGGGCCGGGCUAUUUCACACCCGUGUGGUGGUGAGAGAGAGAUCAUGUGCUAUGACGGUCGAUCACAUGAAUUUGAUCAACACCGCAAGCAUCGAGAUAGUGGAGAAAUUGAAUCUACCAAUGACACCACGUCCACAACCAUACUGUUUCCGUUGGGGUCAUGAAGAGCUCACUGUCACGCAACAAACAAAGGUACCGUUUUUGUUGGAAAAUUAUUUUUGCGAGGUUUUGUGCGACGUGAUUCCGGCACCGAUGAUUUCAUGUCACUUGUUAUUGGGAGAGCCGUGGUACAGAGAGCAUGAUGUCGCGUACGAUUGCAAAACACACAGAUAUACCGUCAAGAGGGGUAAGAAGUGCAGCCUCGUGCCAAUGGGUGAGGAGCGUUUUAUUUCUUGGAGGAAAGAACAUCUUGAGAGGAUAAAAGAGCAG
rnacentral:rRNA from 1 species